rnacentral:RNase_P_RNA from 1 species
CACAGCUCACAGAUAGCAGCCCCUCACUUUCGCGCCAGGCCAGACCUUGACAGUAAAGUGAGGGGAGGAAAGUCCGGACAGCAGAGUGUAGGGUGUCCAUCGAAAGGUGGAGCGUCCGAUGUCAUAAUCGGACGACAGUUAGAGCAACAGUGACGAUUUCCCUCACAUUCGUGUGAGGGAGGUGAAACGCCUUUGAUCCUCGAGAAAUCGAGAGGAGGCCUCUCACCACUCGUGGUGAGAGGGGUAAUCCUCCCCGCUGCAACCGACGACCUUCACCGCAUUGCACACACUCGCGAGUUGGCACUCGUGCCAGCCGGUGAUAAAGACGCGGGCAUUAGAUAGAUUGCUAUCAAAACAGAAUCUGGCUUAUUGGGGGCUGUGCGGU